GCUUACACUGAGAGUGUAACGUUAAUCGGCUGAAAACAAGUUCACAUGAGUUUUGAUAUUUCAUGAUAAACAGAUAUUAAUACAAAUUGUUCUGUGAUUUCAGGAUGACAGAAAGAAACUCUACAGAACAAAGUGAAACUCCAAGAUUUCUGAAAAGAAAAUUGGUGAAAUAUAUUCUGAAAAAGGCAUAUUAAUGUAUUUCAUGAGCUUCUUCAGUUCACCUGUAUUUCUAAGUCAGUAUCUCCCUUCAGAAAUGUUGCUGACGGGAGAUACUGACUUAGAAAUACAGGUGAACUCAAAAAGCUCAUGAAAUACUCAUGAAAGAAGCUCAUGAAAUACAUUAAUAUGCCUUUUUUCAGAAUAUAUUUCACCAAUUUUAAGAAGUCCCUGACAUCAAAACAUUGCUUGUUUUGUUCCUGGACUCUUCAGUGAUGAUGAGCAGAGUCUGAGUGAACCUGCUGUCAGACAGGUUGGGCCGAUAGACGAUUCCAUCGCCGAUGGCUGAUAGACAUCACGAUGCUGCGCCGGCAAACAGCGUCAUGAGCUCCAGUAUCUCGUGCGUGCAUCCGUGGUUGCCCAGGCUUUGGGUUAAAGGUAAUACUGUUGUAAGUAGUGUUCAUUUUCUUGUACAGACCAAUAAUUUAUUUUCAUUAGAUCUCAAUGUGUCACCAGGAGCCACCGGUUUUUGGUCCUGUUGUUUUUUUCUCAAAAACCGGCAGCCGCUGACUUGCAUUUAAGAAUCACCAAGGGCAACGGUUUCACCUAAAAACCUUUACUGUUCUACUGCAAAAACCUUGGAUGACCUGAGGAUCACUAUUGCACACCAAAUACUCUUACUCAGCAGAUGGGGACAGCUACCAUCACCCAAUUUACACCCAAAAGUGGCUGCGCUAUGCGCCAGACCGGGGCAGGAGGGACUGGGCGACAACUUAUGCAGGCAUCAGAUGACAGUGAAGUGUAAAUAAAGAGUAGAGAGGCUAAUAAACAUUAAUUUGAUUUUAAA